GACAGAGGCCUCAAGCGUUAGGCGGAAUCACUGGGCUUAAAGCGCGUGUAGGCGGCUAAGUAAGUCGGGCGUGAAAUCCCACGGCUCAACCGUGGAAGUGCACUCGAAACUGCAUAGCUAGAGUCCUGGAGAGGAAGGUGGAAUGCUUGGUGUAGAGGUGAAAUUCGUAGAUAUCAAGCGGAACACCGGUGGCGAAGGCGGCCUUCUGGACGAUGACUGACGCUGAGACGCGAAAGCGUGGGGAGCAAACAGG
rnacentral:rRNA from 1 species